AGGAUUUUACAUAAAUAGAUGGAUUCAGUGAAUUCUAAGGAGACAGGAAAUCAAGUCUGGUUGAUGAGGCAUGGCCAUUAGUCAAGAGUGUGAGUAACAGCUUUCCACGGCCCUCGGGUUAUGGUGCCAUAGAUGAUCGUUCUCAGCUCCUAAUCAUGGGUGCUGGGAUGGUCUAAUGGCUGUCUGACAGACC
rnacentral:snoRNA from 1 species